UAAGAUGGCUGAAUGCUAAGCGGUGGGUUGUAGCUCCAUAAAUAGAGGUUUGAAUCCUCUUCUUAU
rnacentral:tRNA from 2 species